rnacentral:rRNA from 1 species
UACGUAGGGGGCAAGCGUUGUCCGGAAUCAUUGGGCGUAAAGCGCGUGUAGGCGGCUCGAUAAGUCCGCUGUGAAAGUCCAGGGCUCAACCCUGGAAAGCCGGUGGAAACUGUCAAGCUUGAGUCCGGAAGAGGCGAGUGGAAUUCCUGGUGUAGCGGUGAAAUGCGCAGAUAUCAGGAGGAACACCAAUGGCGAAGGCAGCUCGCUGGGACGGUACUGACGCUGAGACGCGAAAGCGUGGGGAGCAAACAGG